rnacentral:rRNA from 1 species
AGUCGAGGGGCAGCAUAAAUUACUUGUAAUUUGAUGGCGACCGGCGAACGGGUGCGUAACGCGUAUGCAACUUACCUUUUACUAGAGAAUAGCCAAGAGAAAUUUUGAUUAAUGCUCUAUACACUUAUUAAUUCACAUGAAUCUAUAAGAAAAGCUCCGGCGGUAAAAGAUGGGCAUGCGUCCUAUUAGUUUGUAGGUGAGGUAACGGCUCACCUAAGCUCCGAUAGGUAGGGGUCCUGAGAGGGAGAUCCCCCACACUGGUACUGAGACACGGACCAGACUUCUACGGAAGGCAGCAGUAAGGAAUAUUGGACAAUGGAGGCAACUCUGAUCCAGCCAUGCCGCGUGAAGGAAGACGGCCUUAUGGGUUGUAAACUUCUUUUAUACAGGAAGAAACCUUUCCACGUGUGGAAAGCUGACGGUACUGUAAGAAUAAGGAUCGGC